UGGCUCAGUGGAAGAGCAUUUGCCUGGCAUGCACAAAGCCCUGGGUUCAAUGCCCAG
rnacentral:tRNA from 1 species